AAUAUUGGACAAUGGGCGAAAGCCUGAUCCAGCCAUGCCGCGUGAGUGAUGAAGGCCUUAGGGUUGUAAAGCUCUUUUAGCAGGGAAGAUAAUGACGGUACCUGCAGAAAAAGCCCCGGCUAACUUCGUGCCAGCAGCCGCGGUAAUACGAAGGGGGCUAGCGUUGCUCGGAAUUACUGGGCGUAAAGCGCACGUAGGCGGACUCUCAAGUCGGUGGUGAAAUCCUGGAGCUCAACUCCAGAACUGCCUUCGAAACUGGGAGUCUUGAGUUCGGGAGAGGUGAGUGGAACUGCGAGUGUAGAGGUGAAAUUCGUAGAUAUUCGCAAGAAUACCAGUGGCGAAGGCGGCUCACUGGCCCGAUACUGACGCUGAGGUGCGAAAGCGUGGGGAGCAAACAGG
rnacentral:rRNA from 1 species